rnacentral:lncRNA from 1 species
GUUUCUCCCUAACAAGGUUAGCAAUAGCUCCUAUGCAGAGACAGGGAAUGACCCCAAAUGUGCAGAUGUCACAAAAAUAGGAAGACUGGUAUCGACACUNNNNNNNNNAAAAAAAAAAAAAAAAAAAAAAAAAUUGUCACUGGAAGAAACAGUGCCCAGAUGUAUGUCCUCAGAUAGAAUCUUUCUCAGGAUCUGUGAUUGAUUAUUAGAGUGAUGAUUAGAAGGGGGAAAACAUGAGGUUAAAGUACACAACAUUUUUAAGCUUUUUGCUCAUGAAAAAGAGUGAAUUCACUUCCACUUCUGCCAACUCACAAUGUGUGGGAGUCUGAGGCCACUCAACAGCAUGGAACCAGCGCCAUCAAAGGAAUUUUUGCUCAAUUGGAGAAGCAAAGAUGGCCUGUAAUUUAUAACUGUGUCCCCCGCUCCCACCAACAAUUCACAUGUUUAAGUCCUGACACCCAGUACUUUAGAUGUGACUGUAUUUGGAGACAGAGCCUUUAUGGCGGUGUAUUAGCUUUAAAUGAGGUCACAAUAGGGUUAGUAUCUACAUGAGAAGAAGAAAAGGCUGGGCUGGGAGGCUGAUACCUGUAAUCUCAACACCUUGGGAGGCCGAGGUGAGAGGACUGCUUAAAGGC